AAUGAAUUUUAAUUUGGUUUGUUAUUAGUUAGAAGUUUUAUAUAUAUAUAACUUUUAGGGAAUAGUAUAAAUUUAAAUAAUUUAUAUUUAAGAUAUUAAAUUAAUAUAUAAAAUUAAUAUUGUAAUAAUUUACAUAUUAGAAAUACUUAUAGUAUUGAUAAAAAUUUGUGCCAGCAAUAGCGGUUAAACAAAUAAUACAAAUUAAUAUAAUUAUAUUUAUAAUAAUUAGAUUUUUAAAAUAUAAUAAAAAUUAAAAUUAAAAGAUAGAAUUUAUUAAUUUUAUAAAUUAUUAUAUUAUUUAUGUAAUUAUUAAUUAGAAAGAUUUUGUAUAAAAACUAGGAUUAGAUACCCUAUUAUUAAAAUUAAAAGAUUUAUUGAGUAGUAAAAUUAUAUGAAAUUUAAAAAUUAUGGCGGUACAUUAUCUGUAUAGAGGAAUUUGUCUCAUAAUUGAUAAUCCACGAUAGGAUAAACUUAAGUUUUAAGCUUAUGUAUGUUCAUAUUAAAAAUGUUCUUUAAAGAAUAAUGUUUAAAAUUUAUAAAUUUUAUAAAAAUUUUAUAAAAUAAUAAUAAAAUAAUUUAGAUCAAUAUGUAGCUAUAUUUAAGAGGUAGGAUGAAUUACUUUUUAAUUUGGAUAAUUAAUUUUAAUAUUAAUUUGAUAAAGAAUUUAUAAGUAAAAUUUAUAAAUUAGUAAAUUUGAAUAAUGAUUCUAAUGUAUGUACAAAUCGCCCGUCACUUCUAUAAAUAAGCAUAGAAUAAGUCGUAACAAAGUAAAUGUACUGGAAAGUGUAUUUAGAUUAUAUAUAUAUAUAUAUAUA
rnacentral:ncRNA from 1 species